AUUGAACGCUGGCGGCAGGCCUAACACAUGCAAGUCGGACGGUAGCACAGGGGAGCUUGCUCCUCGGGUGACGAGUGGCGGACGGGUGAGUAAUGUCUGGGGAUCUGCCCGAUAGAGGGGGAUAACCACUGGAAACGGUGGCUAAUACCGCAUAAUGUCGCAAGACCAAAGAGGGGGACCUUCGGGCCUCGCACUACCGGAUGAACCCAGAUGGGAUUAGCUAGUAGGCGGGGUAACGGCCCACCUAGGCGACGAUCCCUAGCUGGUCUGAGAGGAUGACCAGCCACACUGGAACUGAGACACGGUCCAGACUCCUACGGGAGGCAGCAGUGGGGAAUAUUGCACAAUGGGCGCAAGCCUGAUGCAGCCAUGCCGCGUGUAUGAAGAAGGCCUUCGGGUUGUAAAGUACUUUCAGCGGGGAGGAAGGCGAUGUGGUUAAUAACCGCGUCGAUUGACGUUACCCGCAGAAGAAGCACCGGCUAACUCCGUGCCAGCCGCCGCGGUAA
rnacentral:rRNA from 1 species